GUAAGGAAUAUUGGUCAAUGGUGGGAACACUGAACCAGCCAUCCCGCGUGCAGGACGAAGGCCCUCUGGGUUGUAAACUGCUUUUAACAGGGAAGAAACGCCUGGACUUGUCCGGGCCUGACGGUACCUGUGGAAUAAGCACCGGCUAACUCCGUGCCAGCAGCCGCGGUAAUACGGAGGGUGCAAGCGUUAUCCGGAAUCACUGGGUUUAAAGGGUGCGUAGGCGGCCUGGUAAGUCAGGGGUGAAAGCUUCCCGCUCAACGGGAGAACUGCCCUUGAUACUGCCGGGCUCGAAUUGGGUUGAGGCUGGCGGAAUGUGGCAUGUAGCGGUGAAAUGCUUAGAUAUGCCAUAGAACACCGAUUGCGAAGGCAGCCAGCCAAGCCUUGAUUGACGCUGAGGCACGAAAGCGUGGGGAGCGAACAGGAUUAGAAACCCUAGUAGUCC
rnacentral:rRNA from 1 species